AUUGAACGCUGGCGGCAUGCUUUACACAUGCAAGUCGAACGGUAACAGGGUGCUUGCACCGCUGACGAGUGGCGAACGGGUGAGUAAUGCGUCGGAACGUGCCGAGUACUGGGGGAUAACGCAGCGAAAGUGGUGCUAAUACGGCAUACGUACUGAGGUGGAAAGUGGCGGACGGUCAGGCUUCACGGUAUGCGAUGGGCCGACGGCUGAUUAGCUAGUAGGUGAGGUAAAGGCUCACCUAGGCGACGAUCAGUAGCGGGUUUGAGAGGAUGAUCCGCCACACUGGGACUGAGACACGGCCCAGACUCCUACGGGAGGCAGCAGUGGGGAAUUUUGGACAAUGGGCGAAAGCCUGAUCCAGCCAUGCCGCGUGUCUGAAGAAGGCCUUCGGGUUGUAAAGGACUUUUGUCAGGGAGGAAAUCCCUAGUGCUAAUAACACUGGGGGAUGACAGUACCUGAAGAAUAAGCACCGGCUAACUACGUGCCAGCCGCCGCAGUAA
rnacentral:rRNA from 1 species